GAUGUCGGGGAUCAUCGCUGACUCCACCAGCCCGCCGAGCGGCCGUCGCGAAGGUCAAGGUGAGCGGCGCAGGGAGAGGCAACCAGGCGAGCGGAGAGAUCUGACGACACACCUGCUCUGACGGCAACCCGUCUCUGCGAACGGCCCAGCACAGUAGGGGCCCAUCCAUCAUCGACGCCGAGGGAGCACAGCGCUAACGCGGGCGGUCCGAAGAGUCACGAGCGACUGAAGAGCAACGGCGAGGCGAGCGGUGCUGAAGCUCGGCAGGGGCGGAGCAAUCGCGACUCGCGAGCGAGCAGAGAGACACGAGGCGAGAUGUGCGUGUGAGAUGGGCGAGAUAGGAGAGAUGGACGAGUUGGGCCCCACGGUUCUAUUCGUUCCUCUUUGUACGCGAGAUCUAAUCUGUCUUAUUAUUUUUUUAAUAGGAGGAGCGUCUCCAUGCAGCAUCCUAGGAGCUGCUGCGGCAGGCCAUCGCCCGUGGGCAGAUAAGGAAGCACAUAGGACUGCUGUCAAAAAAAGGAAGCACAUGAACACCUGUCCAGCCACGAAGAGGCCAGCAAGGUCUGAAUUCCUGUCGUGCGAGCAAACAAGAGGGAUCUUUAAACAACCCUGAUUCUCGCUGGUCGCUACCAGCAGGGGGUGGAGCUUAUCGCUGUGAGAUUAAUUAUUCCUAGUAUAUUCCCUCGAUCCAAAUAUAAGGAACCGCAACGUUAUAAAUUUGUCUACAAAAUAUAAAGGAUUCA
rnacentral:lncRNA from 1 species